UGCGCAGGCGGAAUGAUAAGUCAGUGGUGAAAUCCUACAGCUCAACUGUAGAACUGCCAUUGAUACUGUUGUUCUUGAGUACAUUUGUAGUGGGCGGAAUGUGUCAUGUAGCGGUGAAAUGCUUAGAGAUGACACAGAACACCGAUCGCGAAGGCAGCUCACUAAACUGUAACUGACGCUGAGGCACGAAAGCGUGGGGAUCAAACAGGAUUAGAUACCCUGGUAGUCC
rnacentral:rRNA from 1 species